rnacentral:tRNA from 1 species
GGAGAUACAGCUCAGUUGGUAGGGUACCUGUCAGGGAUGCACGAGGUCCUGGGUUUGAUCCCCAGUACUACA